AAAGAUUUACAGCAAAGUCAUAUUGAGAACACAUAGACAUUGGACACGACCAAACAGACAACUAGAAUUACCUUGAAGGGCUAGAUGACUUAGCAGGAUCACCAUUAGUAAAGUAGAGUAGGCAGGACUUAAAUGAACAAACUAGGAAAACACUACAUAAACAUUAAUAGUUUAGAGAUACUAAUAACAUAUAGAACAAGCAGAGUUUAGAAAUGCUGGGUGAGACAGUAAACAAGUAAUGUAAUUUGGACAUGCUAAUGAGCACACAAGAUGCAUGCAAUUACCACAAGAUAGGAUUGGGCAUGCUAAACAAAACAGUAAGCAGAUCAUUAGGGGUAAAUAAACUAGACAUAGAUUCUAACAGAAUAAGCUCCAACAUGCUAGGUGAGACAGUAGUUAGGCAGUAUGAUUUAGGCAUGCUAGUUAUACAUUGAGCAAUAUGAUAGUAAAUAACAAACAUGAUUGGAAGUCACAACUAAUGGACUGAAACAACAAAGAAACACAUAGAGUUUUGGACUUUGAAUUGAAUCAGGACAUACCGGUUAAGGAGAGGAAAUAUAGAGUAUAGAACAGAUAUGGUGCAAAUAGCUAGCCUUGGCUUACAUCCGGAUAGGUCAGCGAGGAUUGCAAGUAACAGAGAAGAAUAAAGAGAUUUUAAAAGUGUGAGUAUUUUUUGAACUAAUGUUCAAUUCUUGAACUAAGAGUAGAGGAGAGUAUAUAUAGCAGUUUAGCAAUAGAGCUGAAUAAGGUAAAAGAAAUCAAAUCUCAGCAGUUAGGGAAUUACAAACUAAAUCACACACGAAAUUAGUGUAGUCUUCCUUUAAUUAAGGAUAACUAUUAAACGGUUAAAGGACAUGAGUCGCUUAAGGAAAUAAAAUCAAAUUAGCCUAAGUAAAUAUGAAAACAAGCAAGAGUUUAAUUAAGAAAAUAAUCGUGAGGAAUCAGUAACAUUAAAGGAAAUAGGGUAAUAGGAAUAAUUAAAGUCGUAAACAAGGGAAUGAAUCACAAAUCAACACAUAAUAAUAUUAGUUUUCCACAAAAUACUGAAUUAGACUAAGAAAAAUCAUGAAAGUCAAAGCACAGAAAUAAACACGGUAACAUGUAACACGAAAAGACUCAAAAUUGGAGAAAGAAUUUGAGAAAUUAGGUCUUUAGCAUAAAUCGACUAAGGUUCAAACGAUACUAACAUGAAUUGGCCAGUAAGAACCGCGAUUAAACUCUUGAAAAUCAGAAAGGCCUUGAAAAAGGUGGAUUCAGUAAACCCUAGUUUUAGAAAAAAUGGAGAAUCGAUGAAAGAUCUUCGUGAAAACACGUAAAAUAGACUCGAUUCAUCUCAGAUAUGAGAAGAUCACAGGGUAAAUAAUUAGGUUUUUAGAAGUCUAAAGAGAAGAGAGAAGACUUAAAAAAUCACAGAUUCAAGAAAAAAACGAGAAAGAUCUUACUCAAAAUCAAGUCAAUCAGCCUAAAACAGGAAAGAAAACCCCAAGGUGUAAACAGAACACCUAGGUUCCUUGAGGAUCUCUUCAAGGAUCCAAGAAAUGGGGAUAACAUGGCAAGAAGGAGGCCGAUAAAGGUCUGAGGUAGUGAAGAACCACCAUAGGAGGGCAGUAGAUGAAUAGCAAUGCUUGAAGAUUAGGGCUUAGGUAGAGAAUAGUUGAGAGAGGAGGGAACAAAU
rnacentral:lncRNA from 1 species